UGUGCACUUUUCUCUUAGUAAGACGCCGUGAUCCAUUAGAAAUUGAUNCAUUCAAAUGUAUAGUGGGUCAUCAAUAGACCAGCAUGAAGUUUAUCGGAACAAAUGGCAUGAUCUUUCACGGUCGUGUGUAUUGUCUGGUAAGCGUGCAUGACUGUCUGAUGGAUUUUAAAGAUUAUAUUAUUGAUGGCGCAAGCAUAUAUAUAUCUGAUCAACGGCGGUUAAAUUUGGGAUACCUUUUGGACCCGUCUUGAAACACGGACCAAGGAGUCUAUCUAGUAUGCGAGUAAAUGGGUAGCUUGAAACCUAUUUGCAUAAUAAACGUGACUGUUUUAUGUGUCUCUUCCAUCCCGGAGUAUUUUUAUCAACAUAUGCGCAAGUAUAUGGAAAAUAUAUCAUGAGCACACUGGAUACGACCCGAAAGAUGGUGAACUAUGCCUGAUCAGGUCGAAGUCAGGGGAAACCCUGAUGGAGGA
rnacentral:rRNA from 1 species